rnacentral:rRNA from 1 species
CGUGAGCAAUCUGCCUUGGAGUGGGGAAUAACGGCUGGAAACAGCCGCUAAUACCGCAUGACGCGUCUGGGAGGCAUCUCUCUGGACGCCAAAGAUUUAUCGCUCUGAGAUGAGCUCGCGUCUGAUUAGCUGGUUGGCGGGGUAACGGCCCACCAAGGCGACGAUCAGUAGCCGGACUGAGAGGUUGGCCGGCCACAUUGGGACUGAGACACGGCCCAGACUCCUACGGGAGGCAGCAG